rnacentral:rRNA from 1 species
GAUGAACGCUGGCGGCGUGCCUAAUACAUGCAAGUCGAGCGAACAGACGAGGAGCUUGCUCCUUUGACGUUAGCGGCGGACGGGUGAGUAACACGUAGGUAACCUACCUAUAAGACUGGGAUAACUUCGGGAAACCGGAGCUAAUACCGGAUAAUAUUUCGAACCGCAUGGUUCGAUAGUGAAAGAUGGCUUUGCUAUCACUUAUAGAUGGACCUGCGCCGUAUUAGCUAGUUGGUAAGGUAACGGCUUACCAAGGCAACGAUACGUAGCCGACCUGAGAGGGUGAUCGGCCACACUGGAACUGAGACACGGUCCAGACUCCUACGGGAGGCAGCAGUAGGGAAUCUUCCGCAAUGGGCGAAAGCUUGACGGAGCAACGCCGCGUGAGUGAUGAAGGUCUUCGGAUCGUAAAACUCUGUUAUUAGGGAAGAACAAACGUGUAAGUAACUGUGCACGUCUUGACGGUACCUAAUCAGAAAGCCACGGCUAACUACGUG